GCGGGCGGAGCUCCGCAGGUAGAGCGUGGGUUUCAUAAUCCUAAGGUCCAGGGUUCGAACCCCUGCGUCCGCA